AAGUCGUAACAAGGUUUCCGUAGGUGAACCUGCGGAAGGAUCAUUAAAUUCAGUAGCUUGCUACUGUUAGGGGGGGUCUAUUAGUCUGUAUAGUAUCACUACUGAUGAGCAGCACGACCCUCUGUCUAUACCCUUGUCUUUUGCGCACUCAUGUUUCCUCGGCGGCUUGAUACCCGCCGGCUGGAUCAAUCUAUAACCUUUUUAAUUUUCAAUCAGCGUCUGAAAAACCUGAUAAUUACAACUUUCAACAACGGAUCUCUUGGUUCUG
rnacentral:misc_RNA from 1 species